AGAAUCUUGACCCUCCAGCAUUCUCUAUCAACCUUGGGUGCAGGACCAAGCAAAAAACGGAAGAGUUGGAGGAAGAAGACAUUAGUGAAGGCCAGGACUCACUUCGUUGGAGGACAGAAGCAAGCACUCCCUUCAAUGAUGAGGUCAUUACAACUUUAGAGCAAUUCCAGCCUUCAAGGAAACACGUUCAGGCAAGCAGACCUCUCUAGGCUAGACAGACUUUUGUGUUGUGUUGAAUUUGGUGGCCACAGUACAGUCAGGAAGAUGGUCAUCAGGACAACAUUGCUGCAGGACUGGACAAUCUGGAGGGCCUCAAAUGAGUAUGAGGCAGGGAGGAAGGCUACCCCGUGCUGUUUUACGUUAGACAAUAUGACACAGUCCACAGAGCUGCAGCCAUCUUCUCUUGUCUCACAGAGCUUGUGAGGUGGUCCUACUUUGUUCCAGAAGUCCUUAUCACACGUGUGAUGUUCUGCAGAUCACAAAAAUCCAAAGGAUCAAGGCGUGAAGAGUUCAAGCCCCAAACAGCACCCUCUAAGGUUCUGGUGGGAGCCAGGCCACUGCCAUCACUAGGAUAUUCUCUUGGGAGCUCUGACCCCGUUUCCACGGUGUUGGGGUACCAGGCUGUAGUCAAGCGCCUCACCUGGGGAGACACUGUGCUAUCUGCAUCAGGAACCUCAGAGUCUACUUGAAACUGCACAUUGGUGGUAAGCCUUAGCUGGGCUUCCAGUCAAUCCAAAAGCAAGCUUACCUGAGUCAGAAACUUCACUUUACACAUCAUCAGUUAGGUUCAAGUUCUGUGCCUUACUUCUCUAACAAACCUUUGUCUCUCACAGAAGCCCUCUGAGCAGAGUCAGACAUGAGGGCUGGGACCCUCUGAGACCUUCAUUCUUCUUCAGUCGGUUAGUGAGUGUCGGCAUUAUAACCCAUCCUCUAGGCACCCCAAGGCAGGCCAGCCGUGGGUGUGCCGGGCCCUUACAGCCAUACUGGUUCCUGGCCAGAAAGUAUCAUCUUAACCUGUUAACAAAUAUACCAUCUAAGAGAAUCGAUUUCUAGUGUCUAUGAACUCCUAAUGUACUGUUCUACCCUGAAAUAAGCUUCAUUAAUAGAUGACACAUCAGUGUCUUCCUCUGGGCUCUGUGAAUGAGCAUAGUGUGCCAUCCAUACACAUGAGUGAACAUAUAUGACACAGGUUGACAAUUUACACAGAUAGAUACAUACACCACACUCACAUAUAGAAAAGUACACAACACACACACACACACACACACACACACACACACACACACACACACGAGUUCCACCUCUUGGAAUUCGCACUUUGAUCCCAGAAUCUUAGCCUUUCCUGGGUCUCUGUGGCUGCAUCCCUGGCUCUUAUAUAUUUUAUGGGACAUAGUUCUCACUAUGUUAUUGCAUUUCCUCUGACUCCAAACUCAAUGAAAAAGUCCAGGCUGAUGUGGAGGAACGUGCCAGAAUCUCAUUGAUCUGAGUCUGAUCUGACACCCUGAGAGAUCUGAUCACACUAAGUGUGUUAUCACGGACACAACCUGGGAGAAGAGACCACUUCCUAGGCAGACAUGGAUCCCACAUACAAUUGAUUCUGGAAGCAUUCCUUGGUAGCAAAAAUGUGUGUGUAAACUGACGCUGGACAAGGCUGUUCAAGUUGGAUGGGUCUGAGAAGACAAAACAAUCCAAGAAUUCCCAGUGAGCCAGCCAGCCAUAUCUGAUAUACUCAGAUGACCAGGAACUGAACAGCUUACUCCUGCUCCUUCACUGCACUUUGCAAGUGUGUGAAUUCCUGACUGCACAGGCUCACAGCUGGGGAAAACAUCUGACUCUCUCACCUGCAUCUGGAAGUGUAAGGGUUGCUGAGUGCACUGGCUCACAGCUGGGGAAGGCUGACUGUCACACCUGUGUCAGGAGGUGUCCUGGUCCCUGACUGCACAGGCUCACAGCUGGGGAAGGCUGGCUGUCACAUCUGUGUCAGGAGGUGUGCUGGUCCCUGACUGCACAGGCUCACAGCUGGGGAAGGCUGACUGUCACACCUGUGUCAGGAGGUGUCCUGGUCACUGACUGCACAGGCUCACACAGCUGGGGAAGGCUGACUGUCACACCUGUGUCAGGAGGUGUCCUGGUCCCUGACUGCACAGGCUCACAGCUGGGGAAGGCUGACUGUCACAUCUGUGUCAGGAGGUGUCCUGGUCGCUGACUGCACAGGCUCACAGCUGGGGAAGGCUGACUGUCACACCUGUGUCAGGAGGUGUCCUGGUCGCUGACUGCACAGGCUCACAGCUGGGGAAGGCUGACUGUCACAUCUGUGUCAAGAGGUGUCCUGGUCCCUGACUGCACAGGCUCACAGCUGGGGAAGGCUGACUGUCACAUCUGUGUCAGGAGGUGUGCUGGUCCCUGACUGCACAGGCUCACAGCUGGGGAAGGCUGACUGUCACACCUGUGUCAGGAGGUGUCCUGGUCCCUGACUGCACAGGCUCACAGCUGGGGAAGGCUGACUGUCACACCUGUGUCAGGAGGUGUGCUGGUCCCUGACUGCACAGGCUCACAGCUGGGGAAGGCUGGCUGUCACAUCUGUGCCAGGAGGUGUCCUGGUCCCUGACUGCACAGGCUCACAGCUGGGGAAGGCUGACUGUCACACCUGUGUCAGGAGGUGUGCUGGUCCCUGACUGCACAGGCUCACAGCUGGGGAAGGCUGGCUGUCACAUCUGUGUCAGGAGGUGUGCUGGUCCCUGACUGCACAGGCUCACAGCUGGGGAAGGCUGACUGUCACAUCUGUGUCAGGAGGUGUGCUGGUCCCUGACUGCACAAGCUCACAGCUUAGGAAGGCUGACUGACUCACCUGUGUCUAAUUGAGACAGGGCAUUGCAGUUUGAAGAUCUUCCUCAUUCAGGAGGAAGUUUUGACUCAUGAAAGGUAAGACAGGAAUCAACCAAUCAUUUAGAAGCUUCCAAAUAGUUCGGCCUGAUGAUAUAUACGUGGUGGCAAGAUCUCAAGUCAGGCCUGCUCCGGCUAAGAAGUC